AAAAUAUUGUUCAUGAAUACUGUUUAGAGUGUAGAAUUGCAGCAAUAAAUCUACCCUAACCCCUAAAACAUACCAACCUUCCACAGCAGUUAAAUCUUUGAAACACUUCAAAAAACUUGUCUCCGGAUGUCUACAUCAUUUUGGGAGUUUAUUCAAUCUCUAUUUUCUAUCCUAUGUCCCAUCAAGAUAAACCCUAGAAAACAUUGUUAAAGUCCAAAGAGAAAGAUUUUGAGCAUGAAGUGAGCAACCAGAAAAGAGAGCGCAAAUGUUAAAGCCAAAAGAAAAGGUUCUAUCAUGUUUUAAUAAAAUAAAGAUGCUGAGGAUUGGGAAAAGGAAGGGGAAU
rnacentral:misc_RNA from 1 species